UACGUAGGGGGCCAGCGUUGUCCGGAUUCAUUGGGCGUAAAGCGCGUGUAGGCGGCCAGGUAGGUCCGAUGUGAAAUCUGGAGGCUCAACCUCCAGCGGUCAUUGGAAACCAUCUGGCUAGAGUCCGGAAGAGGAGAGUGGAAUUCCUGGUGUAGCGGUGAAAUGCGCAGAUAUCAGGAAGAACACCUGCGGCGAAGGCGGGUAGCUGGGCCGACACUAACGCUGAUGCGCGAAAGCCAGGGGAGCGAACGGG
rnacentral:rRNA from 1 species